GCCAAUGUAGCUCAGUUGGUAGAGCAGCUCAUUCGUAAUGAGCAGGUCAUCGGUUCGAGCCCGAUCAUUGGCUCCA
rnacentral:tRNA from 1 species